UGAUCCGAAGUUUAUUAGUAUUUUUCAUGAAUUAAUUAAUUUUGAAUUACUUAUGUUUAGGCAAGCUAGGGUUUCGUCAAUCUCAGGCUAGAGACUCUUCGUUGUCUUGUCUCUCAAUUAAAAUCCUUUUAUUUUUCUUUUUUCUACAAGGAAAUACAAAAAAAUCGAAUUACUUUUUCCUUGCAUAGGAAAAUCAAGAAAACUGGGAUGGCGGGCGGUUACUGGAAUCGGCGUCAGCCAACUCCUCCGAUGAUGUCUUCCAGUGGGACGCUUAAACGACCUCGUACUGAAUACGGUAAUAGCCCACCUUCUGGGCUGCAUCCAGCUCAUGAGAUGCAUAAUUAUUUGGCUAGAGAUGGUGAUCGGGGUGGACAUCUCCCUGUAAAGGAUACAAAAACAAUUGGAUCGGCAUAUGAUUGCUAUCUGCAGAGUGCGCAAUCUUCUUUUCCUUCUGGAGAACCAAGUACAUUUGGUGGGUUGGGAAAACCUGUUUUUGGUUCAAUGCCUGCUCAUCCAAUAGCUGAUCCUCCUGUGAUGGGUCGUCCUGGAUCUGCUGCUUCAGAUCUGGUACCAAAUGGUCGAAAUGUAGGUUAUGGUAAUCAUCUUCCAGUGGAUGCAAUGUCAAGGUUAGGUCGGGAUACUGUACCUCUACCUCCAGAUGCUACGAAUACUCUAUAUGUUGAGGGACUUCCUUCUGACAGCACGAGGAGGGAAGUAGCCCAUAUCUUUUGCCCUUUUGUGGGAUAUAAAGAAGUACGACUAGUGAGCAAAGAAUUUCGACAUCGUGGUGGAGAUCCUCUCAUCCUUUGUUUUGUUGAUUUUUCAAGUCCUGCUUGUGCAGCAACUGCAAUGAGUGCCUUGCAAGGAAACACUAAUUAACUCUUUAAAUGGUAAUGGUGCACUGGAGCAUUUGGCGCAAGCGGUAAGUGUAUAUAUCCCUUGCUCAAAGAGUAGAGUUUGAAUUUCCCACCCAUCUAAUUCAAAAAGAAAAAAAAAAAGAAGAAAAAUGAGAAAGGUUAUAAAAUUGAUGAACACGAUCCUGAUUCUAACUACUUGAGACUUCAGUUUUCCCGGCACCCAGGCCCAAGGUCAGGUCCUGGAGCUCGCGGAAGGUGAAUGUCACACUCUGGAGACAACUAGGCUGUAUGCGAGUCAUCUUGAAGCCAGUUUUUAUGGUUCACAUGUUUUAUAUAUGUGGCUGGAUUAUGAGGAGUGUACACAUUAGUUGAAUAGCAUAUUUUGUUACUCGCAACCUAAAUUGCUGAAUCCAGUUAACUGUUGGCGCUAUAGAUACGCAGAAAUUUAGGAGAUGUAGGAUCCAGAAAUUCUUGAAUUGCUUGCACAUUCCAGGAAGCUGUGUUGUACAUUAACUAAAAGAUUCGUUUUUUUUGUGGUAUAGAUCGUAGUAGCAUUUUAA